rnacentral:rRNA from 1 species
UGGGGAAUAUUGGACAAUGGGCGCAAGCCUGAUCCAGCCAUGCCGCGUGAGUGAUGAAGGCCCUAGGGUUGUAAAGCUCUUUCGCCAGGGACGAUAAUGACGGUACCUGGAUAAGAAGCCCCGGCUAACUUCGUGCCAGCAGCCGCGGUAAUACGAAGGGGGCUAGCGUUGUUCGGAAUCACUGGGCGUAAAGCGCACGUAGGCGGAUCUUUAAGUCAGGGGUGAAAUCCCGAGGCUCAACCUCGGAACUGCCUUUGAUACUGGAGGUCUCGAGUCCGGGAGAGGUGAGUGGAACUGCGAGUGUAGAGGUGAAAUUCGUAGAUAUUCGCAAGAACACCAGUGGCGAAGGCGGCUCACUGGCCCGGUACUGACGCUGAGGUGCGAAAGCGUGGGGAGCAAAACAGGAUUAGAUACCCUGGUAGUCCACGCCGUAAACUAUGGAUGCUAGCCGUUGGGCAGCUUGCUGUUCAGUGGCGCAGCUAACGCUUUAAGCAUCCCGCCUGGGGGAGUACGGUCGCAAGAUUAAAACUUAAAUGAAUUGACGGGGUCAUAGCUGUUUCCU